rnacentral:rRNA from 1 species
UACAGAGGGUGCGAGCGUUAAUCGGAAUUACUGGGCGUAAAGCGUGCGUAGACGGUUAUGUAAGUCAGAUGUGAAAGCCCCGGGCUCAACCUGGGAAUUGCAUUUGAGACUGCAUAGCUAGGAUGCGGAAGAGGGAAGUGGAAUUUCCGGUGUAGCGGUGAAAUGCGUAGAUAUCGGAAGGAACAUCAGUGGCGAAGGCGGCCAUCUGGAUCAACACUGACGCUGAGGCACGAAAGCGUGGGGAGCAAACAGG